GAAGACCAGAAUACUGCUGAUAUUUCCUGCCCGUCGCACUGACACCUUUACAGCUGAAGACUGAGUGUGUUCUGGAGGUCAGAAGACACCAAAUCCCGGGCUGAGGAGAUGACAGGUGAGGUGCUUCCCUUCAUUGUUACUGAUCUAAUAGACAAUGUGGCUACAUGCCCUGCUUCCUUAAGCCUAGCAAUGGAAGUCAAUUCACAAGGACUGGUAAAGAGCAGAGAAAGUUUAUUUUUCAGAACGAUGCACAGCAAAAGGAUAAUAAUGGAAAAAUAAUUGAUCUUCAAACCACUGCCACUCACACUUUAUCCAUGGGAUAAAGUCAUAAAGACAGUGUGUUAGAUUUUUACAGUGUAAAAUCCCGCUUUGUCUUGCAUACCAGCUUUGAUAUUUGACCAGAGACACUUCUGAACAUUUUCUGAGCUGAAAGAUGUCUCUUAAAAUGGGUUCUUGCUGUUGAUGUUGAAUGAGUGCAUGUGUUUACUCAGAACUGCAUUUCAGGUACCCCAAAACCUGAAGAGAUGCAGAACUGCCAGCAGAAGUAAACUUGGUAACGUGUGCCGUAGGUAACCCUGGUGAUACUAUUUGCUAUGAUGACAAAAAGUAAAAGACUUUUUAAAAUCAGUUUUUACCUGUUGCUCUCCCUCCUAUACAGAGAAAAUGCAUGCAGCAGGCAGUACUGUUUCUAAACUGUCCAUUUCCUAAUGGAUGGUAUUCAUGACAUUUAAUUUCAGCAGGCCUUGGUAGUAAAUGUUAUAAUGAUACCCUUCAGCCCAUACCUUGCACCGCAGAUAGUUUGUCUAUUGGCAGUGAGGAUGUAAAUGAAAAGAAUAGCCCUUCCUUACGGAUACUUUGGAAGUUGGAGGAUCUCUGCAUUUCUAAGUAGAAUCUGUGUCUUUCAUUAAAACUUGUUGGAUAAAUCUGUCUCAAAAGGUGGGGCCUGUCCAAACCUAAUGGAAAAGGUAAGUACAGAUUUGUCUUUGGACUAUGACCUACCCUAUUAUCCACAUGAAGCAGCACUGUUUCCUCGCCAUAUGCCACGAACAGCUGACCCCCAGUUGUUGAAUGUUUUCCUUAUGUGACGUCCAUCUGAGUUCAGCCUCCAGCUGUCCUCUGCAUAGCAAAGUGGUGCUUUAAAGACAUUCAUUAUUGGUCACCUUGUUUUUUUUUUUUUUUUUUUUUAAAGAAAAGCUAGCAAGUAGAUUAUAACUGAUGUCUGAAGCUAAAAUAUUUAGUGGGCCCUUUGAAUCAUUUAAUCUCUAUAAAACAGUGCAGUAUCAACAGUUAUAACAAGAUAGUCACUCUGUGAUCACUAUAAGUAUCUUCCUUUAAGUUUGCACCUAACUUUGCACUAUGUAACGUGAACAAAUUGUUCUGAAAAGGAGCCAAAGAGGGAGGACAGGAAUGAAGGCUUUCCCCUGAAUGGGAAGAUAAGUGCUCACUGUUGGAGGUGGGCAAAGCAUGGUCAAAAAUGGCUGGGGGGAACGUCACAAGUGUCUUUAACAGGUCUCAAGGGAUGGAGAAAAAGAUGUAGAUAGCAGAACAACCCUAUCCCUGCACCCCAGCACAUAACAGCGUGGAAUGGUGGAAGAGUGCCCAGGCAGCCUCUGAAUGAACAGUAAUGGUGGGUCAGCCACGUGUAAACACACAAGAUACUAAAAAAGAAGAGCAAUUCCUUCUGCAGUUCAGAAUAGUUGGAUGUUUCUAUUCAGAAUUCUAGCAGAAUUCAAAAUAAAGAUGAAUCUCUCAAUCUUAAAAUUACAACAACCAUUGGCUAAGUCUGAGGGUGGUGUAAUUAAAAACCGAUCUGUGAACGAUUAGGGCACAGAAAGUGAGCACACUGACAUGUAUGUUCCUAACUGUAUUUAAAUAAAGUAUGAGAUUGUCAUUCCAGGCUGUUGUAGUCAAGCUUUGUAAAGCCCUGAUACUCUGCACAUAAAUUCAGCUCUCCAUUACCUGUGUGGAGUGUGCUGGCAGUGGCACAAUGCAGUGGGGGAAGAGGAAGAAGCUGUGAGGAGUUGAGGCAGUAGGGAUUACCUUCCUGAGUAUGAAGGGACCGAACCAUUUCAGAACUACCCUUAAAAAAAAAAACAGAAACAAAAACAAAAAAAACAGAAAACCUCCCAAAACCUUUAAAGCAAUUCUGCCUCUUCUCUGUAUGGAUUUGAGUUUAAACAAUUGUACAAACUAAUCUGUUUUUGAAAACACUAAUUCUAAUGUAAGUUCUGUUCUCUUAUUCAAGCCUUGAAUAACAACACAUCAAAGCUAUCAGAAGGAAAAAAAAAGGAGGCUGUGCUUAGCUGCCCUAUGGCCAGAAACUGCUGCUGGAAGGAAAGAUGCAGUACUUCAAAAGCAUGUGGACAAUCCCUUUGUAUAAAAUGGCCAGCACGGUAAAACACAGCAAAGUCUGGGAGUUUGAGAGCGUCACUGGAAAGUGGCAGAGCCAGAACCUGCUGAGGGCAGUUGCCCGUGACUUCAGUUUCUAAAAAAAACAGUGACUAGCAAGAACUAAAAGGAACAGAUCACGAGCACAAAAAACUGUCACCAUUUCUGAAUCCUUUAACUAAAUCCUGAAUGGUAAAUUGUGAGAGUGAAUGGUUGUACACCUCACAGAUAGUUACCUCUGAACUGGUAUUGAGUUACAGCACAGGAGCUGGCAAGCUGCACCCUGAGCGGUGUAAUGCUGCUAAUCACCGCAAGAAGGGCAAGAGGUACAGAGCAGUGCAUGUGAUUUCACUGUGUCAACAGAAUAAGAAUCAGUUACUCACACGGAACUUUGUAAUGUCUAAGUGUUCUAUGCAUCUCAGUAACUUUCUGCAAGGGAAAAUAGAAACACAAUUUCUCACCUGGAUCACAAUUCAGCAUUCCAACUUUCAGCACCAAAACAUUUAAGCUCUUUUAAAAUUGUGUAUUAAUCUGGAAAUAGUUAAAUAUGAAGGAGUAACAUUUGCUGAGCACUCAGGCUACUUGAGAGGUGUAUAUCAGGUAGACCUUCCCGAGUUACGUGCACAGUACCAUUCUGCUGUGGAAAACAAACAACUGCAUUUGAAAAAGUCCUUUGAGAAACAUCUCCUCACCCAGAAAUAGCAACAGGAACACGAAGCCACAAGGAGGUGCUGCUCAGAACACGGCAGGAAGGAACAGUGCUGGACUGGGGGUCAGAGUGCACUGCUGAUGACACUGCUGCCACCAAGGUGCUAUCUCUGUAAAUUUCAACUACAGCCUCAUUACAGAAAAUCUUAAACGUAGGAAUUCAAAAUCCUGCAGUCUGACUGUGAGUGCAAUUUUAAACUUUGUUAGGGUAAAGUUUAGAAUCAGAGCAAAAUAGAUUCCCGCAUUUACAGUCUUAUUAGGGAAGCAGAAGUUUUGCAUCCUUUGCACUAGAAACUACUACAGCCAAUUGUUACCUGGGAGAUUGUUCUGGUCCACUGUAAUUUCAGCACUUCAAGUAGAAGGUACAAUUUGGACCUUGAGCAACUCAAGUGGGCCUACCAACCAGGUCAUGUGGCAGAGGUCUAUAGCUUUAGUGUUAGGGAUUAUGCAUGUAUAUAGCAGAGGAACCACUGCAGCACAGGUGGGAAUCCCCUCCCGCUGUUGUCUGCUAAAUCAUUCCCUAUUUCAGACAUACCUGCCCAACACCUGCUUGGCCUCCUCUAAAAGGCUGGGCAUUCUGUGCAUUAGCUGUUACACUGUCACCGUGUUACACAACUGAAAACUGCACUGGAGUACUCAGUUAUAGAAGGAAGGGCCUCAGAAGGAAUCGGGGGGCGGAGAGUGGAAAGAAUUACCAAUAGCCUAAUUUUGUUUGGUUGGAAUAAAUUUAUUUCAUCUGUCUGUAAACAAGGUGUUUUUAAUAGUUAUGGCAUUUUUUGAAAUGCAUAUUAAAUCAGAUGAGUUAGACUGUAUCCCAGAUGUAACAAAGUGCAGGGAAAGAAAUGGACAAAUCAGCAACAAGAAUUCGUUUAAAUCUGUACAUUAUCCACAAGGCCCAACAACAGAAGCGAAUACUAGGAUGUCCCUAAAGUAGUGCCAUUCAAAAGAAACCCUCGUACUCAGUUAAAAUCCAUCUCACAAUAGCAACAGUUCAGUUUUUUUUUUUAAACAAUAAGUAUGGCACAGAAUACAUAUUAAAAAAAAUUCAUCACAAGACAGCCAAGUCAGUUAUUCCAACCAAUACCUUCUCCCAUUUAUUCUUUUGUAUACAGAGUUCUGCAGUUCUUUUUAAAUGGACAUACAAGUUAGUACUGUGCCUGAAGGGAUCGUUUGGUUACACACAUGUCAGAUGAUGGGCGCACAAGGCAGUUCACUCCAUGAUUUCUGCAGCAAGGGUGUGACAGGCCAAAUGAGGGCUUUAAAUUUGAAAUGGCAUCAUUUUGACAGGUUAGCUUUCAAACUACCAGCCUUCAUCCACACAGCAGCUUUGGAGCAGCGAGACUCUGUACCCAGCAAGUGAUCUGGCAGAAAGACCGGAGUUGGUCAGCGCUGCCACAAGAGCUGAAGGCGGCAGUUCUCCACCAUGACAUUGCAGUUUUGUAUAAAAACAGAACCACCAACCCACAACCCCAAGCUGCAACUUAAAAUUGGUCCUAUGAAAAACUGAAACCAGACACACUCCAGAUGGUUAUGUUGGGAUAUCUGAUGUCCAUAAUGGCAGCCUUUUAUAGUUCAACUACAGAACGGGAGCUGGCAAAAAAAAAAAAAAAAAAAAAAAAGUGCCUGAGCUAUUGCAAUGAUGGAAUGUCCCCGGGGAGUCACUCGGGAUGGUGGCUGUAAGGUCAUGGGAGGAAGUGCAUCUGUACCCUUUGAUAGUUUUGUGAUUGCACUUAACGAGCAGUACAAGCUUCAGACAUGAAAAAAAAAAAAAAAAUCAAAGACAAGCCUAUAGCAAAGUGCAACAACAAAACUAAUUUAACAUUAAUAGCUUCUGAGUGGCAAAUUGGUUAAACAAACCAGGCACUAUAAAAUAGGUGUAAGCAAACGUGGAUUAAAAAACACAACAAAAAAUCACCACGAGAAAAACAGAAGAUAUGCAUGCACUUUUUCCUCCCAAACAUGCUCUGUGAAAGGAAGACCUGUGAGCUGUGUAAUUGCUCAAAGUGCUGAAGAGGCAUUGAUCAAAUUAGAUUGUACAAUCGGCACCUUGUUUAGUAUUUACGGAGUUGUUUUAGUUCUCAGUACACACUAAUUGCUAAGACAAAGCAAAGCCUAUGCUUGGCGUAUUCCGCUCCCAAGAGUUUUUCAAGGUAUCAUGCAUAUCAUCUUUGUGGUGCAGCAGUGGUGCCAGAUAUGGGACUCGGUUACACACAGUGGUUAACAUACAAAUGAACAAAGGGUAACUGGAAUUACGACAUUAGAAAAUGGGUAAAUAAAAAACACAAACUACCAUCUACAGUCUGGUAGCACUGAGCACAAUUGGGUGGUGAUGAAGACAGUUGCUAGGUGGAUGGGGAGAGGCUGCUUAGACGUCAGACCUCCUCAGGUAUAAAGCCAGUUCAUAUGCUUUCUUGUUGAGUGUCCCUCCAUGGACACCUUCCUUUCCCAUGACUAUAACCAAUGCUGGAGUACACAAGGAAACAAAACAGAAAUGAACAGAAUUAAAGAAAAAAAAAAUAAUAACACCUUUCCCCACCAACAAAGGGAUACAAAGGAGACACAGGUUCAUACCCCAUCACCCUGCAUUGCUAAUAAAGUUUCCAGAAUGUAAGGUUUAAAGCUCACCGCCAGGAAAGUUUAAUAGCAAUCUUCCCCUAAUACUUAACAGUCUGCCUAGCAACUAGAACCCAGAGUCUCUCAAGUAUUUUGCCAUUGAGUAUGCCUUCUUAUUCAAUCCGCCUCCAUGGACCCCUUCUUUGCCCAUUACAAAGACCAAGACUCGCCCAGCUCUGCCUACGGCCACAUUGUACGUCGGCUCCCCGCCUUGGCUCUUCGUCCGGAUGUCCAUUGUGCAGUCCCCAUCCACGUAGAGGCUGUCUCUGAUCACAGAGCACUUCUUUGCACCGAGGGUCAGGCCAUUGGUGAAGAAACCCUCCCGAUCCUUCCCUACAAUCAUAUCUAUUUCUACUGGCGUGAUGCUCUGGAAGAUGCCGCCGGCCGUGGCCGCCCAGACGUAUUUGGCGUCGCAGUAGCCCACAAUGGCGGCCUCCUGGCAGCAGCCAUCGCACAUCAGGUUGUCCACGUAGCUCUGCCAGCCGGCCAUCUUCGGCGGGGCGCGGGCGGCGGCGGCGGCGGGCGGGCGGCGGCAGCGAGCGGCGCGGCGCGGGCCGGGCGGCGGCUGAGGUGAGGCGAGGCGAGGCGCGGCGCCUCUCCCUCCUCUCGAGCGGACCGAGCGCUGCAGCGAGCGGCGCGGCCCAGCCCAGCCCUGCCCUCCGCGCUGCCGGCGCCGGGGGGCGGGGGAGGAGGGGCGCGGCCCGGCACCGCCCCCUUCCCGCACCGCGCGGCCGGCGGAGGCUGUCGGCGGCGCUGCUCGGGCGCGGGGCGUUCCGCGCCUGCGGUUCCGCAGCGGCCGCCGCUCUGCGAGGCUUCCCGGGGCUGUGCGGGCGCGGUGCUGCGGAGUGCCGCCUUUUCCCGCCCUUUCUAAACCGGGAGACGUUUGAAGGUUUCGCCGACGUCUCAGAAAUCGCAUUGUUCUCCGCUGCUGGGAGCGCGAGCGCCGCUUGGGUGCAUCCCCUUUGUUUCUGCAGAAGCUCUCAGCACACAGACCCGUAGUUGCAGUUUGCAGCGCGGAGCCCCUCCCGGCAGCGCGGCCGGCCCUGUGCCGCGGCAGCCGCACGCGGAGCUCCCUUCGCUCGGCGUUACCCCGGGGCGCGGCGCUGGCUCCGCUCUGCGGGCUGCAUCUCCUUUCUGCACAUUUCACGUUCGCCGUCGCAAACUUCACCAGCUGUCAGACUCCUUCAAGAAAGCGCUGCCGGCGCUGGCUGUUGGCCGUGCUGUGCUGCUCUGUGUGUGUCCCUGAAGCAGUAAGGGGGUUUCUUUGUCAGUUUGUUGAUCUUGUUACUAGGGUGGUAUGCUCCCCAUCUCAGGUAUUAGCAUCCGUUCCAGGUGGCGGCAACAGGAUAAGAGGCGAUGACCUCAUGUUGCACCGGAGCAGGUUUAGGUUGGAGGUUAGGAAAUGUUCCUGCUCAGAUGGAGUGGUCAGGCACUGGCGUGGGCUGCCCAGAAAAGUGGUUGGGUCACCAUUCCUGGAGGUGCUCAGGAACUGUGAAGACGUGGACUGAGGGCUGUGGCGCCGUGGGCAUGGUGGGGGUAGCUUGGGGUUGGACUGAAUGGCCUUAGAGGUUUUUUCCAACCUGAACGAUUCUAUGUUUCUAAGUUAGAGUUUAUAUCUGAAUUUUCUAAGGAAUAGAAUGCAGCAAUUGGAUGUCUUUUCCUGUGGUUAUAUCCCUCAGUAAGAAUAUUCACCAAUAUACCUACAAUAUACUUGAGAAUGUUCUCGACCCUUUAAAACCUAAAUUAGUUGCUGUGGCAUUGCCUGUUGUUUAGAUACUGUAUGGUAACUGUUGAGUCCCAGCCUGAAGCACUGAUUGAGCACCUGGGGAAAGGACCCGGUCAGCCCUGGGAGCACAGGUGAAGGCAAUCCAGCGGUGUGAGCAGGAGGGGUGCAGCCUGGCUACACCUCUCUUAGACCCCAUUGAAGAGCUGACUGCCACUGAGGAAGGAUCUCUUUCUGGAGAUCCCUCCUUGGUGGAGUUUUCCCUAUGAGCCCAGAUCUCUGGAGAUGGGUGAGCAGUCCUUUUUUCCUUCUAACAUCUUUCUGUUGCAUUAGUCCCUUUGUCGUUACACUUCUUGAAUUCCCAUUCUAUUGCAUUGAUCCUUCUGGUUGUUACAGGUACUUGUAGAGCUUGCUUAGAUUGCUAGAUGCUUUAUGAAGAUGCUUCCUUCUCUUAGCUUAAUUCUGUAAGCGUUUCUUCAGUUUUGUUUUCAUAGUGCUUUUGCCAUUCUGCAUUUGAACUGCCUCAGAACUUUGCUUUCUCCUGCUAUCUGCGGAUACCAAAACUGUGCUCGUGUCACUGUGUGUGUUAACAGGCCGUAUAGCUAAACUUUUCUGUGAGGUUCGGAUUGCCUUUAUCAUCCUCUUUCCCCAGUCUUGUUUUGUGAGAGGAAAGUUUGUCUGAAGUUGCUUCUGAGGCUGCUUCUCCUUUGUGCUCUCCUGUGGGAGAUCCUAGUAUAGCACUUAUUUGCACAGAUGGAAUGCAUCGUCCUUAAACGAGCAAGGGGCUGAUGGGUUCAUUUGUUUUGGAGUUCUACCCACAUGUGUUUGGUUUUUUGUGUAUAUGAUUUGGAUUUUAUGUUGUUUUUGCAUGCCCUGGUCGGGAUUCUGGACUGCUUCACUUUAAUAAGUAGAUUUAACAUAUCCAGAGGUAGACAUCGUUCUGAACCCAGGGGCAGGCCGUGGGGAUGCCCGGGCUGCCUGUUUGCUGGCGUUGUUAUCUGCUGAUGAAUGGGAGCCGGUGGCUCUGCGGUGUUACUAUCGCUUGGGAAGCAAUGCCACACUUGUAUUUUGUGCACAUAUUAAUGUGACUUUUAAAGUGAAUUGAAAACCCGGCAUUUUGGGGGAAAAGAAUCAGAGUUAUGAAGUAAUGGGAAAAAGAAAACUCCCCACGGUGAGCUUGCGGUGGCCUGGCAGUGGUGUUUCACUCAGUGCCUGUGAGCGCAGCCCGCUCUGCACGCUGCCGGUCUGUCUCCAGUAUUGCAACUCUCGCUUUGGUUGGCGGUUCUGCUCUCAUUAUUUCCUCUCCAGGCCACGAGUGUUUCCUAUGGCGGUCUUUUUCUUCACCGCAAGCGCUUUUAGAAGUACAGAGGGUAAAAGUGAUUUAGAAGUGUUAUGAGUUAGCAGAUUCAAUUCUGCUGAUUAAAAAGCUAAGCAGCAAGAGCAGUUCUGCCUCGUGACCUUGUGGUGAUAACCAGAGAGCAGUGUUUGCAGGGCACCUCUCCAGCUAAUGAAGUAACCUGGCUGAAAAACAAGGAAGCCAACAAAGGGUGAGGUGAGCACUAACAGGAAAUAAGUGGUAGAUAUUUAAUAUUAAUGAGCUGAAAGCUUGAAGCCAGCUUUACAAAACACAGUGAUACAAAUUGCAACGAGGAUUAGAUUGACUACAAUGCAAAGUUUCAUUGCAUGGCUAUAGUUGUGUUUAAAGAAAGAAAGUCGCAUCCAGUGCUAGCAUAGCUCUGGCACUAAAAAGAAAAAGAACCCCAUGUGACAGCACCUGAAACCAUCCUGAAAGUUCUGCAAAAAAAAAAAAAGAUGCUUUCCUGGUGUGUCCUCCAUCAGUCUCUUCCACCAGCACCGGCUGGGUGUUGGGUUCCUCUCUGUAGACAAGGUUUGUUUGGCCUGGCUCCGCCACCAAAGCUGGCAAAACCUUUGCCUUACUAAGGAAUAAUUUCUUAGUUAAGAAGUUGAGGAUUUUUUGUUGGUAUCUUUUACUCAACCAUCAAAAUAAAGCAUAAUGAACCUAAGCUGUAACUUCUGGAACCAAAUGCAAGCUUUGGGGUGCUUGCUGUGUCAGAUGAUGAGGGUAUGAGAUUGCUUCUAUUUAAGUUGCACACAGAAAUGGUGGCUUUAAGCGUGGGGAAAGACAGUUCUUUGUGGGCCUGACUGUUUAGCCAAGGAACUGAAAAAUGUAUUUGAAACUGUGGAAAUUUGCUCAGUUUUUGAAUUUUUAAGAUAAGUCUGUGAGCUUGCCAGUGGCCAAUAAACAAUAAUCCUUAAUAUUCUAAAUUAAUGUAAUUUAUUUGUAAAUUCUUACUUGUGCAGGCAGACUCAGGUGUAUAAGUGUCUUCAGUGAGAGUCUCUAUAUGGUGAGAUGUGCAGAAUUAGGCUUAUAGCAUCCAGCUGAGUGCUGAAAUGUAUCAGUCAGGCUGUUCAGCAUAGUCAGAUCCCGUGGUGUGUUGUUUUGCUUUAAAUGAAACAAACAGAACCCCAGCAUAGUCCUCUUGACUGCUAACUUUCCAGUUAUGAAGCAGGUAAACUUUAACUCUUCCCAGGCUUCAUCUGGUGGUUGCUGUUUUUUCCCCUGUCAAAGUCAACUGAUACGAUUUUAUCCUUUAACAACUGAUCUGCAUUUCUGUGCUGUGUUAGCAGCCUUUAAGGAGAAAAAGAAGACUUUAAUGCAGCUUUAUACAGAGGGUGCGCUGCAGUAACACGAGGACUCUUUCCUGCUUAACGUGAUUAAAACGUCAGCAGCACCUUCCUGGCAAACCAUGUAUUUGUCAGUCUGGCUCUGGUUUUUGGCUGCUUAUGCACAGUCAUGUUCCAGUUAUUGAACUGACAGAACUUUGUUUCUCUAGCUCACAGUUUCUUUGUGUGAUUGUUUUUGCACUGCUGCUGAUGCUUAUUCAGUCUACCACACGGCCAGCCAGGGAACUUUGAAGGUUUGUUCAGUGCACUAUUUCCUUCCUUAUGGUUUCUGUCAGUGACAAUGUCUGUCAAUGUGUCUAUCUGGGUGAUAUUUCCUUCCCUGGUGCAAGUAACUUUGCUGUUGAUAACCUGUUAUUUGUUAAAAAGUGUAAAGAAUUUCUGGAUCAUGGGUACAUAAACCUGUUUGUCACACAUUUUCUACCCAAAACAUUCACUGCCUGCAAAGGCAUCUAAUAAUAAUUCCAAAGUACAGAAAGCAAUAUUUUCCAGAUAAAUGUUAUAGCUACAACCAUGCACUGUUCUGUAAAAUGACAAAUAUUUAUUAUUUUUUUUAAUGAAGCAGAAACAAACUGUUACUUCUCUGCAAUUAUUUUUUAACUUAGAACCAAAUUUUUCUCUGGCCUGCAAGUACUUAAUCCUAGUCCAACUGCCUGCUGUCUGUUCAUCAAAGAAGGGAAUUCGAGUUUUUCAUUUGCUGAAGUAAUUCUUUGUUUGAGUACCCGGUGAGUUAUUUCUGCCAUAGCUGUUGUGGUUUGCGCUCAAUUACAUCUGUUCAAGUAAGCACCACAUUUUUGAGAAACAAAGUAUGUGAAAAUUAUCCUGUUCAAAUCAGUCUAUAUAGUCACAAAAGAAGAUCAGAGAGGUUUUCAAAUACGUGACUUAUGUGCUUAGAAAAGGUGUACUUGUUAUGCAAGACUAAUACUCUGGGACAGCCAUUCUGGUAUGGGUGAAAGGAAGCAUUAAGAGUAUAAAAAUGGGAGGAGCAGGGAAAAGUAAAAUAAAGGUAAAAAUAACUUAAUUGUCAACAUUCUCCCUUUCUAUUUAGAUUUAUUUUUUUUUAAUUUCUCACUGAAGCUAAGGAAAUAAUACUGCAUCUUGGUCGGGCAGCUCAGGUAUGAGAGGUAAGCGUGCUGGAAGUGUGAAGAAACUUUACAAAGGAUAAUGCAGACUGUUCCAGUGGGCAGCCCCGUUCCAGUCCCUAAGCUGGGAUCUAUGUACACCAGGUUAAUGGCUUCAGAAAGUGGGGUUUGUGUUUUUAUGCCACUUAUUUUUUUGGACUGCUUUUCACCCCCUCACCAGCUCCCCUGGUUUUAAACCAGUAUACAUUUUCUACAUAGUAAGUGUAAAUUGAGGUAAGAGUGUGAAUCUCAGGUUACUGCUGUUUUGAAGUGGACGUUUGGUUCUUAUUUUCAGUGUUGCAGCAACUGGGAGAGUGCCCUUUUGACAGUGUUAUUGUGGGUAAGAGGAAUCCAGUCACCUGCUGUGUGGCUCUUGUUCCCUCCUGUCUGCUUUCCUCGGGUCCUCAUCCAGAAAUUCAGCUUGCACAAAGUCAUCAAACCACAUUUAGGUAUGAGCAAUUGUGGAACACUGCUCGGGGUCACACGCCUUUCUGACACUGCUCCCCUGUGCACGCUGAAGUUAUGUGCAGAAGUACAUAGGAAAGAUGCAUCUAAUGCCACUUGUCUGUGCUCUGAUCUUAAACACCACGUGGCAAAGUGCAGUUUUUAAGGUUUUGUAACUUGGGUGUGUUGCAUUUCUCUAGAAGAGUGGAAGGGUUCUUCCUAUUGCAAUUUUCUUUGAAACUGAGAUGUAAAAUGCAGCACAAGGACCACUUUUCUUAAACCAAAAUGGAUGACGUUGGCAUACCAAAAAUAUAUACAGUAACCAGCAGUCCUGUGCGUUACUGCUUUGACUGUUAUCAACCAGAAUUGCCUUCCUCUGCUGCACAAAGCCUUCUCAGAAUUACAUUAGGAUGGUGUGUGUAACACAGUUCUAAGACAGAGCGUGUUUUUUAUUCAGAGCUAUUAACAGGUAUAGUUUUAGCACUUGCCAUUACAAAAAAAAAAAAAAAACCCACAGAAAAACAGAGGAAUGCAAAAUUAAUACCACCUAAAUCAGUUUAAUGCACACCCAAGGAUGGCAGCUGGUGCCUGAAAGUAUUUUCCACUGAAAGAAGAGAGAAUGUAACCAGGGGGUAGAUGUAAAAAUAAGAAUUGACUUUGGUUCUUAAUCCAGAGUUCCAGUGCUGAAGCUGGCUUUGCUUCUGGCUAAUCUAUGGGUGAUUAAAGCCCACAAGGGCACGUGGUGUGUGUCAUCCUGGCCCCAGGCUUGGUGAGGUGCAGUGUGCAGCUGCCUCAGGGGCUCUGCAUUGCCCCCACCUGCCUCAUCAUUGGCUCAGGAGAGGAACAGUACAGAAUAUCCUGUAACAGUCUGAUGUCACUGCAAGGAGAGAAGUGCCAGGAUGAGUUUGGUUCUGCAGGCCGGGUCUCAUCUCCCCACUGCAGUGCACAUUGAGAUCUUUGUCCAUACCCAACCACUGUCUUGUGUUCUGUCUGGCUCAAGACACAGCAGCUUUAAAAUUAAGCCCUUAUACCAUGUAAGAGUAACUCCAACUGACUUCCCUUGGUGCAUUACAGCUUUCAGUGUUAGGUCUGCUGCUUUUUGGUCGUUCUGUGGGCAUUUUAGCUGGUUUUUGACUGCACGUCUUUCGGUAACUUCCAGGACCCUGGCACUAGAUGGAGCUUUAAUCUACUUGCACUUUUAUUACAUUUAACCACAAGUUCAAAACAGGGAAGAAUAAAUGAAGAUAUCUAUGCCUGCUGUACAUUUACAGUGCGCUCUUCCUUGUUUGUUUGCAGAGUAAUAAAAACCGAUAAAUUAAAAUGUUGCAGCAGAAUCUCCUUGAUUCCAGUAGGUGGUUUAUAGUCACACAUAGUAAGGCACUAUAAUGUAAUCUCAAGCUCUUGGGAGAAGUUGCUAUGAAUUAGAUGUACUGAAAAUGUGCUGCAUAUUUAAGCGAGUCAUUAGGCUGUGCUGGAAAAAAAAGUAAUGCUGUUUUCUGAAUGAAAUCUGUUUACAUAUCAGGACAGGAUGGGGUGACCAAGCCUUCUGUUUCCUGUGCUUAUUCAAAAAUGCAUUUGCAUUUUUUACUCUCUGCUCCCAAGGCUAACUAUUCAGAAUUGUCUGUUAUCAGUCAAUGCAGGGUUUUUUUCUCCAUGUAUAUACCCUUGGAAAUACUGAACAAAUAAAAACAAAAAUAGCUUUUAAACUGUAACAUUCAAUAGUUUUCAUUUAGCGAGCAUGACAUCUCAUGGGCUGGACAGCCUGUAUCAGACAUUUGUCACCAUCUCAGCCUUCCACAGAAGUAAACAGAAGUAGAUGUAGGUUUGUUCUUGGGUGUUUGUGUUCUUAUCACCAGAAGAUGAGUUUGGUCAAAACCAUUGUCCAGACUGAAAUACCAAAGCAUGUAAUCAGAUCCCAUUCACUGCCCCUCUGCUAUUUUGUUAAGUGAUUUAAUGAAGUAAACCAGGAGAUGAACUCUUGAAGAAACCUCAGGGCACGCUGAAUUCAGAUAAAGAAGGUUGGAUAUACACUGCAACACCUUGCUGCCAUCUCCUUCUCCAGAUCUCAUCCUUCAGUAUCUGUCACCUUUUUUCAGCGGGACUGAAGGACUCCAUGUAUACCACAGGAUGAAAAAUCUUCAUAGAAACUGCUGCAGAAAUGCAGUAUUGCCAGAAAUAUGCUUUUGUUCAUAUUGGGAGAUUUCUACCGUACUGUGAAACUGUCAUUAUUUCUUUAUGCUUUCUCUUCCUUUUACAAAUUGCUAGGAAGGUUCCUUUUUCCUUUAAGUUUGGAUUUGUGAUUGUAGCCUGUAAAUUAGAUCUACCUCAGUCCUGCACUGGGGUAACAGUCAGAUAGGCAGCGCUCUGUCCUAAGAGGGGUUCAGCACACAGCAUCUGUUGCAAUGCUGGGCCUCAUUACACCCGGAGACUUGGAAUGUGCUGCGAUGCACCCCGUGCAGCAGUUCUGAGGACUGUGGAAAAAAAUGGAGUUGACUUCACUGAAACCUGGAUUGGUUUCCGAGUCAGUUUCCUGUCUAAUGUGAAUAAAGGAAAUAGUGUUAUAGCUGCAGCAGCUUUUGCCUUGUCUGAAGCUGCUUUGCUGUGCCUUUGUUUUCUUAUCAGUGAAACGAGGGUAGUUUUUAUCAUACCUGGAAUCUUACCAGGGUUAGUGGAUGUAUGAAACAUUAGAGAAGGAGGUACUGCUUGGUGAUUUAAUGUGAUCUGAAAAAUUACUGGUGAUGACAUUUUACCCUUUUACCCCUGUAUUAAAUAGUAAUAUUAGUCAAACUGGAGUUGACCUUUGAGAAAAUAAUCCUGUCUUGAUUCAGUGAAAACAUUGCAUUUUUUGCCCUAAUAACACCAAUAAAACCCUCAUUUUGACUUGUAAUGAAAGCUUAAAACUUGGUUCUUUAAAUAGUAGAAUUAUUUAUCUCAAGAAUCUUGCAGUGCUGAGGCUGUGGCGUUUGAGGUAAGGUUUUGAAAUGUCACACACAAACUUUACAGCUUUAUUUCUAUCAUUCACGACUGCACUGGCACUCAGACACCCUCCAGCCUUCCACUGAAGCGAAAGUUUGUUUUCUAAUGUAAAAACAACAACAGCAAACUUAUUAAAGUUUGACCAUUUUGUUUUAUCUUUAUUAAUGAGAAAAUGAAGGCAUGAGUUGAAAUCUUUUGUCUCUGUCACAGCUGAAUAUGAAGAGGUGAGAUGGCAAUACUUUUGUCACGUUGCUUGCCUGUGGAAGAAACUGAAACACUUCUUGAGUAUGAGAUGCUUAGGUAUGAAAUAGAUAGUAGGUUGCUUUGCAACAUUAGGUCUCAUGCUUCCCAGUAUGUUUAGAACAUCUUUUUUUAGGUAUGUUGAGAUUGUAACUGAGAAACUCAUGCUUGAGUUUAGGCAGCUGGUAGGAAGAAAUGCUGGAGCUUUAGGCCUCUGAGGCAGCUGGACCCUUUUGAGUGCUGCUUUGAGAAAGAAGGCGUUUGCAAGAACAGAGAUUGCUAGAACUCAGCGGUGAGCCUUGUGCUCUUCCCUGUGUAGCAGCUGAUUUGUCUCUGUGUCUUUGCAAGUCUUUGCCAUUUGUGCUUGAGUUAGUUUCCAGAAUAGCUGGCAUGCAACAGUCUGCCAGGAAUAUGGAAAGCCUGGUGUUGUGGAUAACUCCCAACCUGACCUUUUGUUCCAAGCCAGUUAUGAAGAGCUAGGAAAAGUCACAUCAUCAAAGCUUUCUUGGAUUAACAGAAGAAUGCAGCUGCCUUUAACAGCUUCCUGGCCAAAGGAGGUGUGUUCAGUCAGCACAGUAAAUUACAGGACUGGUGGGAUUUCAGCUGUCUUCACGUUAUAUUUUUCCCUUUGGGAUUUUGUGGCUUGGGUCAUUUGGAGGAGGGCAGUUGGUGAGAUUUGCUCUGCUGGCUCCUCAAGGCUUCCUUGUUGCCACUUGCUGCUACACGCUGUGACUGCCUUUGCCUUCUCCCAAGCAAAUGUAACAACAGAUUCAGGGCAAAGGCACAGGAGGGCAGCAGCUCUUUUAUCCUUUAAAGGCUGUUUGUAAAGAUAAAGGGCUUGAUACUGGCUUACCCAGUAAGCCUUACCUUGCCUGAGCAGGUGUUUUUUUUGUUUGUUUGUUGGUUGGUUUUUUUGUUGUUGUUUUGUUUUUUUUUCCAGUGGUAUCGAAACCUAUUUAAAUAAUCAUAGCAUUUUCCCCAUAUUUCUGUUACAUUCCCUUUUUUCACAGACCGCAAAAAAGAUUCAUCUGCCUGCUAGUGCAAUCAGUUCCUAAUACAACUGAGCAUCUGAGUCUUGCAUAGGAAUGCUGAUGCUGCAUAGUUGUGUUUCCAUCUGGAAGAGCUGUUGCUAUGAUUACCUUAACUGUCGGAUAUUGGCUUUUGGUUCUUGUUGAAAAAAAAGAAAAUAGUGAUUCAUGGAGGAGAAUUAUGCAGCUUUAGUACCAAAGUGGUGUUUAUCCUAAUGGAACAGUGCAGGCUGUGUUGGGCAAAGGUGUUUCAGAGUGCUGAGAUACUUCAGUACCAGUACUACGCCCAUCCUUGUUACAGCGAAGAUCCUUUGUCCUCUGUGUGUUAACGUGGAGCUUUCAGCUCUGAUAACAGCACUUUAACACUUGCUUUGGCAGCUAAUCUAGCUAAGGGAGCAGUUGUUUUAUUUGUUUCUUGGGCACCGGUGCAGUGCUCCUGCUAAACCUUUACCACUUUGCCAUGGUAAUAAAAAAAAAAAGUAUUUGAUUUCCUUAAAAAGAAAACCAAAAUAACCAACCAUAAACCUUGCUUUUUGUGGUACACCCCUCACAAACGUCCUGGACUCUGUUCAGUUCUUUCUACUGAAUAAUUUCAGUGUGAUGUCCCUGUAAGUUGUGGUCUAAAACAGAUUCAGCCCAAACCUUUUGCCUGUUAGUAAAGGAAUGAGCUAUAGACUCUAGAUAUUUUCUUCUUGAAAUGAAUGCAUGUAUGCAAAGAAUGUUCAGUUAAUUACUCCAGGCUUCUUGUUAUUUGGAGCCACUGCUUGUGAAGGAAAUGAAACUGCUAAUUUUGAGAAAGUGCAAGCAAUUCCUUGUGAUGUUUUUGUUUCCCCUUUUAGGGCCCAGUUGAGCACUUCUUGUGGCUCUCUCAUUGUGGGGAAGCUCUCACUGAUUACUUCGGGGCUCUGGUGUGAGGAGUCAGGUGGGCCCCAUGGCAGAGCAGCCUUGGAGGGGAGCUGAGCUGUGCUUCUGGUAUUAUGCAUGGCCAGGCCUUCUCCUUGGUGCAGAGCUGGUUGUGGCUGAGGAGGGUGCCUGCACCCAUGGCAUGCAGCGCUCUUGCCUUCUGCAAAGUGGGUCACUGGUGUUUUUAGGUGAGUGCUGUGAGCUGGCAUCAUCUCAGAUCUGCUUCAGCACAGCUGCCAGCUGAUGACAGCCUUUCUGCUUUCUGUGGAGCCCGGCUAGUCCCGACAGGACUGGCACAUAGCUUCCCUGGCCAGGCCGUGGGGCUUCUUCCCUCCUGCUAGCCCUGCUACUGCUCCCCAGCUAUUCAACAGAACUUCAACACUGCAGAGUGCUCCUCAUCCUCUGACACCCCUGGCAUGUACACAGAGAGCUGACUCACAGCUGCCAGCCUCCCCUCGCUGUGCGGCCUGCUUCUCCCCAUGCCAGGUGCACCAGGGUGCUGGUGUCUGGGCACUGCUGUGGCCCACAGCAAUGCUGCAGAGCGGCCAACCCGCCUGGCUCGCACCCCAUGCAGACUCGGCAGGAGAUGUGUUUCUCAGUGCUGCUCAAGUGCUUGCAGUGAGGGCUCUGCCAUGCUCUGGAGCCAGCACCACGCUCAUCCCCAAGCCAACCACAACAGUCGUGGUUUCGCUCCCGGCACUGAAGCAAUCUGUGAAGAGCGCGGAGCUGGGCUUGGGCUGAACCCUGUUGGGGGGAGGCGUGGACCAGACGCUGGCACAGAGGAAUGGCCUCUAGGACUGCUGGUUUCUAUUCUUGGCCUGGGGAAGAGUGAAGGUGCUCAUCCGAGCAGGGAUCUGGGAGCCUCAUGCUCUGCAAGGGCUAUUGUCCAGGAUAGGGCUCAGCAGUGCCCAGCAGCUGUGUCCACUCCCUCCUCCCAGACGGGUGCAGGCAGAGCCGGGGCAUGUGGCCCCAGCGAGACAUGGCUGGAGGUUGUGCCCUUGGAACACAGCAGUUCUCUUUUAGAUAAGAAACAAAGAAACAUCCAAUGAUGGAAACGGUUGCCUCUCUGUAAAUAGCAAGCCGAGUGACCUAGUUCAGCUCAGCACAGCUCCUUGGAGCUUCCCGCAGCAGCACCGUGCUGACGCUGAAUCAUCACUUCCAGAGCGGCAGAGAUUGGAGUGUGCAGGCCCUGAGGAUUUCACUGUUUCUUUAUUAAUUUUAAAUUGAUUAAAAUGAAUUUUUAAAAUACUAAGAGAGACUUGCCUAAAGAAAAAAAAAAAAAAAGAAAUGAAGUCGGUCUGUGGGAGUUUGUUGUGUGCUUAAAACUGUGGCUCACACAGCUGUGAGCACCCAGUGCAGCAUGGAGGAGUCAGGUGUCAGCUGCUCUGUCCUGGCAGAUCAGCAAAGUCAAGAUCAAUCCAUCAGCAUUGCAAAGAAGAGGGAAUUAUAAGCUCUGCUGGUCUGUAUUCAGUGCAAAGCUACCAGUGUCCUCAUCCAUGGUGUGGUUCUGUGGGUUGCUGCUCUCAGCUACAAUGCUUUAACCAGAAGUCAGGAGCCAGGGGAAUGCAGUUCUGCUGGAGCCAAACAUAUGACCUCUUUUCCCCAGCAUCACACAGUGCCUGAAGGCUUUCCUUUAGAACACCCUGGGUUCUCUACGGGGUUUCUGUGCAGCAGAGCAGGCUGGCAGGCCCUUCACUCAGACUCCAAGCAGGGCUGUGAUGAGUGUAGGCAGCAACAGAUGGGAAGAAGAUCCUUUUCCUACUGUCAGAGGGCAGCUACAAGUGAUCUUUUCCCAUGGGCCAAUCUCAUUUGCUGUUCAUACCCCAUUCCAUCAUGGAAUUCUGCUGAACACAGUAAAGGAGAACAUUCCCGUUCCUUAUAAUUUCCAUCUGUUCCUGUACAACAGCAGAAGAUGAUGCCCUGUAUGCAGAGUUUUUCCGGAGCUCCUGCUGCUCCCUGCCUGUGCCCCCUGUGGCCCACUGACGCUCAUGGCAGCAGCAAGGUGCUUCUAUGCCAUGGUGCGCUCUGGAGAUGGACUGCACAGAAACAGGUCAGAGCCCUCUCCCCAUGGGUUACCAUCCCCACAGUGGCCCUGGGAGCUCCAUCUCUCAUGAUCCCACUGGGGUGCGGGAGGUGGGCAGUGCAGUGGUGCUGCAUGUGAGGAAUUGGAGCAAGAUCUGCCCUAUCUCCUCAGCAGGGAUUGCUCUGUUCAGAUGAAGGCCAGGGCUGGCUCUAAACACAUCAACAGCAGUGAGCAGAUAAACCUUUUUGUUUUUAAAUAAAUAAUAGAAAGAUAAACAAACAAAUCCAAGUGUGUGGAAGCUCUGUGGUACCUCAGAGAAGACCUGGCAGGGAGCUGCAAGCCGUGAUGGAGCAGGAUACAGAGGAUUCCCGGAGAGAUUGAAGCAGCAGGUUUUGUCAGACAGUCCUAUGUCUACCUAGAAAAGAGAACUUGAUAUUUCAUUAAAAUUAAUGAGUAAAAAUAUAAGAAGCCUGUUAAAAAUAAUCUGACACUUUCUACUGAUGGAAGCAAUGGAGCAAGCUGUGUUCUAGAAGUUGCUUGGAAGCAUCUUUGGUCUGCUUUAAAAGUCCACAUAAAAAAUGCAGUAGCAUUACUCGUGUCCUGCUCACCUCUCUGUGUCUGCACAUCUCCAGGCCUCAGAAGCUGAACUGCUCUAAAUUCACACGCUGGUGUAGAACUUAUUUUUCCCAGCUCUUUGUCCCACACUCAACUCUCAGCCCCGCCUGCAGCGCAAAGCAGGCACUGCUGUGGAGGUCUGCUGAUGAGAGAUGGGGGGACAGCCCACCUCUGCCCGCUGUUAGCAGGUGUGUGGGCCCUGAUGUCCCUCAGGCAGCAGCAGCGCUUCCUGCAGCUGCGUCACCACCUCUCACGGUGCUCUGCUUGGCUUCACCUGUGAGGCCGAUGAAAGAUGGCUGAGGUCUGUGUGGAGUACGGAUUGUAGUUUAAUCUGUGAUCAGAUCAUGGGUAAUUCAGAAUGUGUUGUAAUGUUUUGUGCCUGUCCAAAGUGCUGCUCAAAGUAAUAUACGAUACUUACGAAUUCUAUCCUGUGUUUAAGCAGACUCAGAUUUGGUGUUUGAGCUAAAUCAGGACGUUAUCAGGUAGGAUAAGAAGAAUACAGGAUUACAUCGUGUUUGUGCUUCGUUCAUUCUGUCAGUUGCACUUUUAGUUGUAAUUAUUUAUGACGAAUCAUUAUGUACUGGUUAAUUUACAGCAGCGUGUUUCUGUACAGUAAUGAAAUCAGUGCGUGGGACUGCAGCACUGCUGUUGCUCUUUCCUAAGUAACGCACACAUUAGUUAUGAGCAGAUGAGAACAGCAUUGGAACGUGUAGGCUCAGUUGGAAGGUGAUGGUGUCCGAGAGUCAUUUGCUCCUUGUGUAGUUCAAAGUAGAGUCAUCGAGGAUCCUAAAGGAGCACCCAAGGUGAACUCGAUGUGAGUGUUUAUGAAAGGUAAGCUCUGGCAACGUGGAGAUCUUUUAGUUACUGUAGGCCCAGGCCUUAACCAGUAGACAUCAAAGAGCAUGUUUCAAUGCUUUAAAGCAUAUAUUCUUAUGAAAAAUAUCUUAUUCCUAUUUCUUUCCAGUUGAAAGACGCUUAGCAAGGCUGCCUUCUGUGUCCUGUGUGAGUUGCUGCUGUUAGUGAUGAGUGCAGGUGUAAAGGUCCAAGAAAUGUUGGCACUCUGAGCCUGAAAUAUGACUUUGACAAAACAAAAUGCUGUCAGAUUCUCACAGCAAACAGACAUGGAAAUAAAGAAAAUAUUUUUUUCACAUUUUUAAAGUUUUAUCACUCAGCAGUGCUAUUUGUAGCAGUAGUAGACAUAACAUUUGCAGAAAGAAAUAUGACAGAUCUAUUCAGCUGGCAGUACUGAGCUCCUCUGCACUGAUACUGCAUCUUGCCAACAAUCCCCGUCCUGUAGUGAGAGUUGUAUCUCACUACCUAAGAAGAAAACUGUCUGUCUUCAUUAUGUACUUCCAUUUUUUCAUGAGCUAGUGAUAAGAUGUGCCUAGCUAUGCCAGGAAUUAAAGUAAUCACGUGCCCAUUCUUGUUUGGUGAAAAUGCUGCCCCACAUUCUGAGAGCAAAAACUUUUUAGUCUCUGUAUUGUCACAGGUUCUGCUACAUCAAGCUGAUAGUUGUUAAUCAUUAAAAUAGAGCAAAACAAAGCAAACACCCAUAAGAACAUUCUUCCUCACAAGUACCUUACUUUACUCCCUAUUUUGCUUUUUUUAGCUCCGGGCUAAUGGUACUGCUUCUGAAACAAGAAUGAUUCAUCCCCCGCUGGCUACACUAGCAGCCUGCUUCCUAGGGUCUGGUUUUUCAGUCUAUUCACCCUCUUUCUUGCAGUGCUUUGCUAUGAGAAAUGUACAGUCAGUGCUUGCAUGCAGUCCUUGCAAGAUCUGGUGAAAGCAGCAACCGAUAGGAUGAAUAGGACCUACGGGCUUUGCAGUCUGCAUUAAGCAUAUGUGAAUAGAUCAGAUGGAGUAACUGAGCUGAUGUUUUCUCUCCUUGAGGCUUUUCUGGAGGCAGUGGUGCUUGCCCUGCUGGCUGCCUGCCACUUGGUGCUGUUGGGCACUGUGCUGGGUGCUGUGCUAGGUGUAGUGCUGGGUGCUAUGCUGGGUGCAGGUGGAUGACAUGGCCAUGUGGAGCAGAAGCUCAGCAGCUGCUCAUUAUCAGCCACUGUCAGUCCGUGAGGUGCCAGCUACUGCCCUGUGUCACAGAAAGGCUGCUACCAUGCAGGAGUCCACAGAGGAGCAGUUUGCCAGAAUACAGCCUCCAUCUGAGAGACCGAGGUGCAGCACUGUGCUAGGAAAUCACACCUGGCCUGUGUUGGUAAAACCACCUGUGCACAAGAGCCUGGUCACUGUGGCUCUUUGGAACACAGUGCCGUGCUGCCACUCACUCUGCAGUGCAGAGCUUAGUGCCUCUGUGCUGGUACAAGGGACCUAGUGAGACAGCCAGCACUGACAGCAUGAGUGGAAUGUUAAUUUACCAUAGUGUGGUUCUGUCUGUCCUCUUAGCAGGAGAAAACACUGCAAUAGUGCUACAAGCAAAUCAUUGUACACAAAUUUAAGCAGGACUUUGUCAGCCCGUGUUGGCAGAUGAGGAAUCCUUUAGUAGCAGUUGUUUCCACCUUUCUUUUUAGAGUGUGUAUAUAUACAAACACACUGCAGAAAGGCUGAAAAACACUUAAGGAUUUGCUCAGGAGAUUAUCUUCUUCCUUUUUACUCCUAUUAAUCAUCUAGGCACUAAUUGAGAAAGAAAGCUGGGCAAUCAGGAAAGCAGGGAAACCCCACCAAGAGCAAUGGCUGCCCACAGGUCACUUGCAAAUGCUGCACACACCUGAGGUCAGCUGAUACAAAGCUGAGUUUAUAAAGGCUGAUGGGAAAUGCUGGGAUGGGGGGGGGGUGCUGUUCCUGGCUAAAAGCAGUGUAUCCAGAAGGAGGGAACCUCCCACGACAGUCUCUUGGCCCAUUAUGCUCUUCUAAUUUACAUGCUUUUCAUUCAGCAUCCAAAACGUUGGAUAGAUUUUAAAAUACAUUUAUUUUUAUUUUUUCAGUAGCUCUUUAUUAUUAAAGUCUCCAGAAAUGCUUUGUUUCUGUCUCUGAACACAAAGAGAAGUGAUAAAAGAUACAGAAAAGCUUACCAGGGUUAUUUUGAGCUAAAUGACUUACAGCUGCGUCAGUGUUUGAUUAGAGAACAGCUUCUGUCUGUGAGCAGUUGCACCACGCGCUUCAGGUUGCUGCCAGAGUGCUUCCCUCCCUGCGGAGUUAUCCCUGGGGCUGAGAGUUGCUGUUCCUUAUUGAGGGAAGGCAGAAGCUGAUGUAGCAGAGAAUGGUUGUAGAGGUCCCCCUGGAUGAGAGUGCAGGAGGAGCUGGAUGGAGGUGGCUGGGGAGGCUUUUGGAGGGAGUUUUUGCUGCUGGUGGGAGUGAGGUGGUGAGUUGUGUUGUGCAGGAUUGUUGGGACAGCUGCUUCCUUGCUAUGUCUGCUCCUCUCCACAUUGCCCUGUGUCUGUAGCUCACACCCCUGUGCACGUGGUGCUGGGGCUGCUGGUCUGUCACAGGGAGCAAAGUCACGGCAAUAGCUGCCCUGUAUAGCCCCGUGCUCCAGGGCUGGCCUUCCUCCAGCACUGACAGUGCAAAGCUUGUAUAGCUUUAGAGAACUCUUUGUAGGUUUGAUUAUUUCAUGGCUUUCUGAAGUUGCUGGAUCUCCAACUUUUCCUUAAGAGACGUUAACAACAAGAUUACUUUAAGUCAAGUUAAAAUACAUUUGUUACUUAUCCUGCAGUUUUAAUCCUGUCAUACCUCUAAUUUUAACGCAGGCUGAGUCAUUUUCAUCCUACGGCUUUAAAAUCAGCCUUCUUGGGCUGUGGAGCAUGGUCUUGUUCUUGCAUGUUUGGGAAGCGGAACAAUUUCUUUCUGUCUCUUAGUCAGAUCUGUCCUGCUGAACUGCUGUCACUUCGUGCUCUCGGAUAUAAAAAUAACGCAUAGCUGGGGUGAUUUGCAGAGUUAGCGUUAUUAUGGUAAGCAAAAUGUGAAAAAUGAGGGAUGCCAGCUUACACUGUGCAGACUGAUUUAUAACAAAUCGAAUUAUAAAAAGAGAAGGGAAAAUAUUAGUGCCAGUGAAAUAUUUAACCUUGUUUGGCACGAUUCCUUGGGGAGCAGUUUGCGUAACUCCUGCACUGCAUGCAAUACAAUAUAUAUUUUCUCUGUUGUGGGUAUCUGUACCAUCUCGUUCCCCCCCCGACUUGUUGAGCCCUGCCAUGAGGCUGCAGUUGUUUCUGUGUUUGGGUAUGGAGUGCUGCCUUAUCACCCAUUUCCUUUUUUUUUUUUUUUUUUUUUGGAAGCUUUCCAAAGGUGUCACUUUGAGGCAGAUUCCUCGCAUGGAAAGUACAGGUGGAGCAGUUGCAGUUUAUCACUGUCAAAGUGCUGGAGACAGUCAUUGUGAGAAGCUUUGACAGUAGGUCGAGUUGUUCUAAAUGCUGUGACUGUAAGCUCAUACAGAGGGAGACAGUGGAGAAUACAAGGGGAAUCUGCAGUACAUGCGUAACAUGUAUAAAAUAGUGCACUUCUACUUCCUUGCUUUAGGAAUAAUGUAGCUAAAUUAGAAAUAUACUGAAAAUAGAACAAAUCCAGGGCUGCACAGCUAAGCAACCUUGAUCUGCUGGUAUACAAAACCUGUUUUUGAAUCUGGGCUGAUGUUAUUUUGCAUUCACAGGGUGACUUCUUGUCACAAAAAUGAAAUGCAAAGCAGUAAGUGAUGCUUAUUUUUGCUUUGAAUUCACUUGAACCCAUACCUUAGCGACAGCCUGGGUUGUGACUGCAAAGAACGUACACUCAUCUCACUAAACCACACAGAACUGCUUCACCACUCUGUGUACAUAAAGAGACAAGUGCUGAUUGUCCACCUCCAAGCACAGCGGGUGCUCCUCUGCUUUGCUGGUGGUGCUGUGCUGGGAGGCAGUGAAACAUGGCCCCGGGUGCAGCUGUGUGUCUGCAAUGACCCUUCGAGGCUGGCACAAGCUAAGCAUGUAUUUUGGCCUGUAACAUGAAGUAAAACAUGAUGAGAAUUUCCUUUAGUUGUAUUAUCACACAAGCACUGAUGCUGACUUUAAUGCACACGUUGGUUUGCACAACCAUGCAACUUUUAAUUCAUUAAGCUGAUCUUGGUGAGGUUCUGAGGUAGUCUUUGCAUGUAAAGACAGGCUCCUAAUUGUUAGCCACGUUAGUGGGAAGAACCUAUCUUCUUUUAAAUGGAGAAAGAUAACUUGGUUUUAGUUAGCUUCACCUGUGUGUUUUCAGUCUCCGGGUAGUUUCAAACCCGUUUUCCUGGUCUGCUAGAUGAAGGUAAAGCAUCUGUCACAGUUUGGCCUGGUUCUGUGACAAAGGGGUGAAGGGUCCCACACCCCAGGGGACAAAAAAAUUAUAAAACCCUGACAGCAUCUUACAGUGGCAGAGAAAUCCAAUCUGUUAUUUGCUAACAAGCUGGUUUGGUUGGAAAAAAUGCUGGUAAUAUUAUAUAUAAAUCUAUGCAUUUCAUACUUAUGAUGGCAUAAAAGCAGCAGCCACAACAAAGACAACGGUAACAGACUUGUGUUGCUUCUUACAGGAAGUUAUACCAGGAGGAAAACUGUAGUAUAAAGGGAAAUCAGAUCCUCUCUUUGCAGCUUCUUAUGCACUAUCUGUUGCCCAGAACCUUGGUAUAAAUAGAAAGCGUACUUCAGGUAUUCACAACAUGAGGAGCCUUAUCUUGCACCUGUGACACAUCAGCUCUAGCUGCUUCUUUCUUUUAGGCUGGUUGGUUUUUACUGCGCUGCCUUGCUGCUGCAGUGCUUUUUUCUCAAGCUUGCUGCUGCUGGGAAGCUCCCAUUGUGCUGCGCUGACCCAGAGGGAGCUGCAGUUCCAUCGGGACUGUGAGCUCUCCAUAUGCCUGCACAGACGCUACUCACCCACCUCAGUCUCCUUCUUGCAACUUAGGUUGUGCUUAAAACUUCCCCUGACUUUCCAAGCUUUCAGUUGGCUGUUUCCCUAACGCUCAAGCUGCCAGCAAGACUGAGUGACGAUCUUCAGUCACUCUUUGUGUUACUGCAGGAUCUCUAGCUAGAGGCUGGACUUGUACCAGACACUGGGCAAAUGAAAAGCAGGAGGCAGGAGACAAAUGCAAGCAGGUGUGGGAGAAGAUGUUUGUGCACCAUCUGUUUGCUUGCUGACUGAGAACUAGGCUGGGAUGAUCUGUUUCCCCAUGCAAUAAUCAUCAUCUGGACUUUGUCAUUUCUAAGCAGGCGUCAGGACUGUGUCUCAUUCCCAGCCCCCUAAAAACAACCUCCUACAAAAGCCAGCUUUCUGUGUGUAGCCACAGGUAUAUUUGGUGCUUUUUAAAAACCUUUCACAAGUGGAUCUCCAACCAACUAGACAGACACAAGCUUGCAUGCUAAAUUAAUUUCUUCCCCCAGUGACUGCUGCCCUAUUGCACCCUGCCCUGUGCAUGGAGCUUUCCAGCUCUCUUAUAGAAUAGGAGGUGACAGCCCACAUAGCAGUGCUGACUAAUGUUGCUUGUCAGGUUCCUUCUAAGGAACAAGGUGAAGCUGAAUGUUUGUAAGAUACUCAUGAGGAGAUGCUAGUCUGAAUUUCUCAAUUGUUUUACAGAGAAAAAAAAAAAAAAGGUGUCUUCAGAAACACCAAUUCAUGUAUUGAAUAUCCAUUUAUUAAAGUAAAUGUACACUAAAAUAAAUGAACAUUUUAGGAAAACAUCCGAGUGAGCAGUGGUGGAAUGUAUGAACGCUGUGUCAGUGCUGGUGUCAGGUAGGCUGUUCCUUUGCAGAUUUGACUUUCAGAUAAUUAAACUGUUCUCGGUUUUGUUCUUUUUUUUUUCCUGAUGGUGUAUUCCAGAGUUUGAAGGAGUUCAUAACUUGCAAUACUGUGAAAACGCAAGAAUCAGCUGGAGUGAGGCUGGUGUUUAGCAAGGCAACAAUCUUCUGUUCUCAGGCUGUACUGGGGAUAUUUUUAGGAUAUUGGAUUUCUGCUUAAAUGUGCAGUAUGUACAUUUAUACUAACAAGUUAAAUUCAUCAGAGUCUUGACAUCAGAUUUCCUUUCUUCCCUGUCUCUUCCAUUGAGCUUUCUUUGCAAUUACAAAGCCUUCCUACAACAUAAAGUCUUUUCUCAUGGGAUCACAGAAAAAAUGUUGACAUUUUCUCCUGUCUAGGACUGGUGUACUCUGUGUGUGCUACAGGACAUAGAGAAGCUAGUUUGCUGGCAGGAAUAAACUUGGAGGCUUUUUUCUCCCCAGUUACCCAAUUUAAUGGAGGCUUUUCUUUCCCGUCACUCUAAGGAGCGCUGUCAUCUUGGUUUCUGGUCUGAUGAUGAUAAGACACGAUGAUUACGCCCUCUGGCUCCUGCAGCUCUCCAUCUGUCUUUGUGCACCUUCCUUCUUUGAGAACAUUUGUCCAAAGAUCCUUCUUCCUGCCUGCUGUGUCCUCCUUGCCGUGGUGGUGACUUCACUCACUGAAGGCACAAAUGCUGAAGCUGCCUAUUUUGUGCUUGGAAAGUGCUGAUCCAAGCAGUAGAAUAUUCAGAUUCUCUGAAGCAAAAUUGAUAACACCUAGGCCAUUCCCAAUGGCUCUUCACGUGUUUUCCUUUUUAAGUUUGCUGCUAAGAUUCCAUGGGCUAUUCCAGCACUUAAAUACUCCUACCUGUGGAACAUAAAUAUGUGCCAUUCUUUCCCUACAGCUAGCCUGUUACUGCUUCAUCUGUCUUGGUCAGUACACGUAGAGAUCUGUCUGCUUCAAAGGGAUCCAUUAUGCCUACCUCCAGCUUUCCCUUUCUAGACUAAGCAAAUCACAUUCUUCUCAUUACUCACAAUUAAAGGAUAGCUGAGGUUGGAAGGGACCUCUGCAGGUCACCUAGUGAAUUCUUCAAAGUGGGGCAAUGAGAGCAAGUUAGGCAGGACACUGUCGGUCGCUGCUGAAUAUCUCCUGAGCAUGAAGAUUACUCGGCGUCCCUGCGUAACCUGUCCUGGUGUCUGAUCAGCCCCACAGCAAAAAGAUUUUCCUCUUAUACUUCAACAGAUUUACUCGUGCUUCAGUACGUGCCCAUUGCAUGUUGCCCUGUCACUGGACACCAUGGAGAAGAGCUCUGUUCUCUUCCCCCAUCAGUAUUCGUACAUUGAUAAAAUACAUAAUACUGUUGGAUUUGGAGAUCAUAGCAGUAAAAACUGCUGUUUUGUUCCACAGCAAGAGAAAUGUACACAACUGCUGUACUGUGGGAUGUUUUCCUUUUAAUGGAAUGCUCUGCGAGUCAUUUCAGUCUCUGUAUCAGGUUCUACAUAAAAAGCCUUUUCAUCUGCGAAAUGACAUGUCAGGAACGGC
rnacentral:lncRNA from 1 species